GACAAACGCUGGCGGCAUGCCUAACACAUGCAAGUCGAACGGACAGAACAGGGAAGCUUUUCGGAGUGGAACUGGAAAGUUAGUGGCGGAUGGGUGAGUAACGCGUGGACAACCUACCUUGUAAAGGGGAAUAACCUCGAGAAAUCGAAGCUAAUACCCCAUAAUAACCUUGCUUCGCAUGAAGUAAGGAGGAAAGGCGGCCUUAGCGCUGUCGAUACAAGAUGGAUCCGCGUCUGAUUAGCUAGUUGGUGAGGUAAAGGCUCACCAAGGCGACGAUCAGUAGCCGGCCUGAGAGGGUGAACGGCCACAUUGGGACUGAGACACGGCCCAAACUCCUACGGGAGGCAGCAGUGGGGAAUCUUCCGCAAUGGGCGAAAGCCUGACGGAGCAAUGCCGCGUGAGUGAAGAAGGCCUUCGGGUUGUAAAACUCUGUCCUUAUCGAAGAGAGAGUGUUGUAGUAACUGACAAUACUAGGACGGUAGAUGAGGAGGAAGCCCCGGCUAACUAUGUG
rnacentral:rRNA from 1 species